rnacentral:rRNA from 2 species
CGGCGAGUGAAGCGGCAACAGCUCAAAUUUGAAAUCUGGGGCCUUCGGCUCCCGAGUUGUAAUUUGUAGAGGAUGCCUCGGGGGGUGCUUCGGCCCAAGUUCCUUGGAACAGGAUACCACAGAGGGUGAGAGUCCCGUAUCCGGCCGGCAGUGCCCUCCGCGCGAGGCUCCUUCGACGAGUCGAGUUGUUUGGGAAUGCAGCUCUAAGCGGGUGGUAAAUUCCAUCUAAAGCUAAAUACUGGCCAGAGACCGAUAGCGAACAAGUAGAGUGAUCGAAAGAUGAAAAGCACUUUGAAAAGAGAGUCAAACAGUACGUGAAAUUGUUGAAAGGGAAGCGUAUGGGGGCAGACUUGGCCGCGGGGUUCAGGGUGUCUUUUGGCGCCUGUACUUCCCCGUGGGCAGGCCAGCAUCGGUUUUGGGGGUUGGAUAAAGGCGUCGGGAAUGUGGCUCCCCUCGGGGAGUGUUAUAGCCCGUCGCGCAAUGCAGCC